GGCAUCCUGACGUCAAUUUGACAUCAACAAGUAGUCAAGAUUUUGACCAACAUGUAUGACGUGCAUAAAUAUGCAUAAUUUCAUUAUAUUUUGUAAUGAUUUCCUUGUGGUUGUAAAGAGGCCCAACAAAGGUAUCAAUCUAACAUGUUUUUUCUGGUCCCUACAUCUCAGGUCUAUAUUAUUGACAUUAAAUCAACGUUGAUUUGAUGUCAGGAAGUAAGACGUCAAAUUGAUGUGACAUUUAUGUCAAAACAACGUCUGUUAAAAUGUCUGAAAAGGUAUAUUAUUAGCCUACUCAUUGUAAAUCGACGCGAGUUUUUCAACAUCCUGACCCACACAGCAGAGGGUUCCAAAACGGACCCUCUGCGGCGGACUUCGUGCGGAUACGCACAUCGAACGCGCCCUUUCCAGUCCUAACGGCUCCUUCAGUUUUCAAAUUUCUCGUUGAUGAAGUGGAAGACGAAACAGCGGCGUCUGAAGGCUCACUGUCAUUCACAAGUGGCUCCAGUCUGGUUUGGGGGUUCUGCCAUCCAAGUAAAGUUAUUCACAAGUGGCUCCAGUCUGGUUUGGGGGUCUACGCUUUCUCAUCCUGUCCUGCCACCCAAG